rnacentral:lncRNA from 1 species
UGCGAAAAGUUUUCUCACUAAUUCAUUUAUAUUGGGAUUGUCGACCUCAUUGGAUAUAUCGCUCUAAUUUUUCUAACUCAGCUCUUAUAAAUGGUUCUUCCUCGUGAAUUAUCCACUUAGCAAACUCUUUACGUUGUAUUUCUUGACAAUAUUGCCAAGAACUAUGACUAUCCCCAGCUAAAUUCAAUUGGGCUUAGAUUUUUACGUCAUGUGUUUUAUACAGUGUUUCAAGUGGCCAGUGCCAUUAGAUGACUUAGCAGUCAGAACGGCUUUGCAUUUCUUAUAAACUAUCGUAGGUUCACUCUGGAUAUUUCUAGAUUUAUCAAAAUCUUUCCAUACCUCACUAAUUUUUCUCCUAGUCUUACGAACACGAACACUAGUGAUUUCUUGAGGAGUAUUCGUCUCCUCAUUGGGGGUCAUACUAGGGGUGCUAUCAUAACAAGAAUCCAUUUAUGCCAAUAACAAAAAGUGAAAAUAAAAAGAUUAAGUUGAGAAGUAUAUACUCUUCAC